rnacentral:rRNA from 1 species
GACGAACGCUGGCGGCGUGCUUAACACAUGCAAGUCGAACGGAAAGGCCCUGCUUGCAGGGUACUCGAGUGGCGAACGGGUGAGUAACACGUGGGUGAUCUGCCCUGCACUUCGGGAUAAGCCUGGGAAACUGGGUCUAAUACCGGAUAGGAGCCAUUUUUAGUGUGAUGGUUGGAAAGUUUUUUCGGUGUAGGAUGAGCUCGCGGCCUAUCAGCUUGUUGGUGGGGUAAUGGCCUACCAAGGCGGCGACGGGUAGCCGGCCUGAGAGGGUGGACGGCCACAUUGGGACUGAGAUACGGCCCAGACUCCUACGGGAGGCAGCGGUGGGGAAGAUUGCACAAUGGGCGCAAGCCUGAUGCAGCGACGCCGCGGGGGGGAUGACGGCCUUCGGGUUGUAAACUCCUUUCGCUAGGGACGAAGCUUUUUGUGACGGUACCUAGAUAAGAAGCACCGGCUAACUACGUG